UUUGUUGCCCUUCCUCACUCAGGCACAGUCUGGGGAAGACUUUGGCCUCAGCCCACACUAGAAGGCUGUUUACCAGACCUGCUGGAGCCUCUGAGGGGCAGCAGCCAGCUCACACCGCAUGCCCUGGAUGGCCAGAAGGCACAGGAGACCACAGAGCAUAUGAGUGGGGUAAGAGGAAACCAUCUAUCAACAAACAGGGACCAGAGCAAAUGAAGUUCCAACAUCUUGCUCAUGCUCUUGCAUGGCCAGAAGUCUCAGCUGCUCUGAAAUGACUCCCAUGUCUCCUGAUAUAAUUUCUGGCUCACUAGGUAGCCUAAAUAUUGCAUCUUUUUCUUCCCAUUUUAUGUCACUGUCAUUAUCUAUACUCCACUCCCUUUAAAAACAGCACUCCUCUUCUUGGUGGAUACCAAAGCACUUUGAGAAGAAGAAGGAAUGCAUGUAUUCCUAACCAAUGAACUUUGGAGAAAUUAACAGGCAAAGGACCAAGUACUACCAAUAUAAAAAUAAAAACGUAAAUUAAACCCAAAGAGAAAUGGCUGCUUCGCUUGUCUGCCUAAAAGGGAGUCAAUCUCACUUUGAAUCAGAUCACUCAUUUUUUUCUUCAAUAUUUUAAAAUGUAAAAAUUUGAGAUACAAAUUCAAAGAAGCAACCAUCUACAUUUUCCACAUCCCACUUAUAUCUUAGCCUAUUUUAAACUACUUCUAACUCUUUGCACAU